AACGAACGCUGGCGGCAUGCCUAACACAUGCAAGUCGAACGAGACCUUCGGGUCUAGUGGCGCACGGGUGCGUAACGCGUGGGAACCUGCCCUUAGGUUCGGAAUAACUCCCUGAAAGGGGUGCUAAUACCGGAUAAUGUCUUCGGACCAAAGAUUUAUCGCCUUUGGAUGGGCCCGCGUUGGAUUAGCUAGUUGGUAGGGUAAAAGCCUACCAAGGCGACGAUCCAUAGCUGGUCUGAGAGGAUGAUCAGCCACACUGGGACUGAGACACGGCCCAGACUCCUACGGGAGGCAGCAGUGGGGAAUAUUGGACAAUGGGCGAAAGCCUGAUCCAGCAAUGCCGCGUGAGUGAUGAAGGCCUUAGGGUUGUAAAGCUCUUUUAACCGGGAUGAUAAUGACAGUACCGGGAGAAUAAGCGCCGGCUAACUCCGUG
rnacentral:rRNA from 1 species